AUAUAAUCAAUUCCUUCACACAAAGAUGGCAACGACCUAUCAUCAUUUGACGCGCAGUUAAUGACGUCACUGUUGUCGCAUCAUUAUGUGUCAGGCUGCCGCCUGAAAAAAACAAAGCUUCAUUUUUUUGAGUCCCCUAUGUAGGCCAUAUAAUUUGACCAUUAAGGUUUCGAACACCAACACAAAAUAACGUAACCCUUGUGUAGGGCUCUAUAAAAAUGGUUAGGGGGCGCUUUCGGACACAGCCUGAAUCUAAAUUAUUGACGUCACCAUCGACGUGACGGCAGCAUGCCGAUUACGUCAACGUGCCACAGAAUUGUGUCAUAGUAGGUGGCAGUGAUAACAUGCUAAUAUUAGCAUUAGCUCAAAUUACUAUUGAUACCAAGAACAGCUGCUACUAUGCAAACGGCAGCUGAAUGCACACAACCUGGGAUGUUGACAUUAAAGCUGAAACUUUAACUUUAGCUAACGUUGUCAGUGGAUCUUCGUUGAGAAUCGAAUAGUUUAUGAGUGUAUUAGCAUUUCAUGUCGAGUUAAACUUAUCGGAGAAAGAAAAGAAACUCGUGUGCAUAAAGGUGUAACGCUUUAAAUCUGACAAAUCGCUCAAAAAAUCCCUUGGAAAACCCACAAGUCUUUUUUAAUGGCAUCCGUUCCCACAUUCAGGAAAUUUGCUGCUGCUGCAUGUGCUACAUGUGAUGUCACUGGUCCAUAAGGUGGCACUGCUUGAUACAGAAGCGGACAGACGGCAACAAGGCAGUGGUGUGGUGUGAGCUACCGAGAGAUGAGGAGUUACUCAGAUUUUAAGAAGCAAAGCCAGACUGUGAUUAUUGUAAUUACCGAGCGACAAGAUAAAUACGCAUCUCUUUGAGGCGACGGCGUCGACUGCUGGAAAAGUACAACACAUCUGCGAGACACAGAGAAAAGGAAAGCAAGAAACACGUCUCGCUUCAGCCUCCGGUCCCCUUUUCCACAAGAGCCAUGGUGGCCGCAGUGCUUAAGAUGUAUUUCUUUGGAACGGCACUCACGGUACUCGCCGUCAUUUACGGAAUUGUGGACUCAUUUGGCGGCCUCAUGUACGUCCAGGACAACCGCUACAUGCUGGAGCUGAAUCAUCAGACGCAUGAGAGGCCCCUCUCCAACGGCAACCACACCAGAGGACCCCGUGUGACUAAAAACAUCGGCUCAUGAGGGAAUUGUAAUGCCCGACUACUUGGAUGCACUUUGGGGGAGGAGGAUAAAAGCACGGACUCUGAAAAGAAGGACUCGAUAUGGAUGCUAAAUUCCCCUUAAUUGCUGUUUUUGUUGUAAUUUGUACCAUCUGCUGUCGGGAAACGGUUGCAGCUAAUGUCUGGACCAGCUGACAAGUGUACUGAACUAUGCACUACUGAAGAAUGAGUUGCACUAACGCGACAAUGUUUCGUUUUCUGUAUUAAAAGAUUUACUUUUUAAAA